AAAGUCGUAACAAGGUUUCCGUAGGUGAACCUGCGGAAGGAUCAUUAUUGAUUUUAAAAAGAUGUGCUGGCUUUCUAAAGGCAUGUGCACUCUUAACAAAACCAAUAUCCACCUGUGCACCUUUUGUAGGCGGGAGUUGUAAAAUUCCUUGUCUAUGUCUCUUACAAACAACCAUUGAUGUAUCUGAAUGUCUUUGAAUAACAUAUUGUAAAACAACUUUCAACAAUGGAUCUCUUGGUUCUC
rnacentral:misc_RNA from 1 species